UAAGGAAUAUUGCUCAAUGGGAGAAAUCCUGAAGCAGCAACGCCGCGUGGAGGAUGAAGGGUCUAUGACUUGUAAACUCCUGUAAAGAAGGAAAAAAUUCCCAUUUGAUGGGAGAUGAUGGUACUUCUGGAGUAAGCCCCGGCUAACUACGUGCCAGUAGCCGCGGUAAUACGUAGGGGGCAAGCGUUGUCCGGAUUUACUGGGUGUAAAGGGUGCUCAGGCGGAUUUGUAAGUCAGAGGUGAAAUCUUACAGCUUAACUGUGAAACUGCCUUUGAUACUGCAAGCCUAGAGUAUGGAAGAGAGUGAUGGAAUAUCUGGUGUAGCAGUGAAAUGCGUAGAUAUCAGAUAGAACACCAAUGGCGAAGGCAGUCACUUGGUCCAUUACUGACGCUAAAGCACGAAAGCGUGGGUAGCAAACA
rnacentral:rRNA from 1 species